rnacentral:rRNA from 1 species
GACGAACGCUGGCGGCGUGCCUAAUACAUGCAAGUUGAGCGCUGAAGGUUGGUACUUGUACCAACUGGAUGAGCAGCGAACGGGUGAGUAACGCGUGGGGAAUCUGCCUUUGAGCGGGGGACAACAUUUGGAAACGAAUGCUAAUACCGCAUAAAAACUUUAAACACAAGUUUUAAGUUUGAAAGAUGCAAUUGCAUCACUCAAAGAUGAUCCCGCGUUGGAUUAGCUAGUUGGUGAGGUAAAGGCUCACCAAGGCGAUGAUACAUAGCCGACCUGAGAGGGUGAUCGGCCACAUUGGGACUGAGACAAGGCCCAAACUUCUACGGGGGGCAGCAGUAGGGAAUCUUCGGCAAUGGAGGAAAGUCUGACCGAGCAACGCCGCGGGAGUGAAGAAGGGUCUCGGAUCGUAAAAAUCGGUUGGUAGAGAAGAACGUUGGUGAGAGUGGAAAGCUCAUCAAGUGACGGUAACUACCCAGAAAGGGACGGCUAACUACGUG